GACAUGGACUAGCAGCAGUGAGGCUAUUUAAUCCCACAGAUGUUUGCUGUAGGUGUGUGUGUACUCCUGCAGUGUGCUUGCCAAGGUCCAAGAACAAUUUGUAGUAUUGUUUAUCUCCUUCAAAGAGGAUGUUGGAGAUGGAACAGAGGUCUUCAGGUGUACAUGCAACCCCAGUACCACAAAAGGGCAGUUGUCCUCCAACAACUUGAGGACACUGUACAUAAAUUCAUAUGAGUAAAAAGCACUUGGAUUUGUGAUUUACUAGAGAUGCCCCUGAGGAUUCACAUGCUUUCCUUCUACUUUUUCCUUCACCUACUCGACAAAUAUCACCGAGUAAAUCAAGCCUGAAUGCACACAGUUCAGAACGAAUUUAUCUUUGCAAAAGAGAAGCAUUCUGAUGCAGGAGGGUGGUUGUUUGCAAUCUUUGGUUUGAAUUGCAAAUAUGAAAGUAAGAUGGCUGCCUAGUAAAACUAGUUGCCUGAGUCUGUACAGAAUGGAAGCCAGGCCUUUCUCUUCCCUGUUUUUUUUCAGACUAGAUGGGCGGGAGAAUAGGGUGUAAGAUGGCAUUGCUGAAUUUGUCUAGAGCUCUACUGCCCCCAAGUGGAAUUAGUUUCAACAGGACACCAGCAUAGUUUCUUUCCCAUGGGGCCCUGCUAGGAGGAGGGCUGGCCUUUAAACUGAAGCUCAUUGUCUUCCAAUGCACCAAGAAAUGACACGAAGCUGGUGUAACUCCUUAUAGAACCUGAAAGUUGAGGGGACUGAAGUGGGCCACAAGCGGUCUGGGAUAUUGAAACUGUGCUAUUCCCAGCUUGGAUAUGAAAAAGGAAAAUGCAAACUCUUCGCAGUCAAGAUGGCUCCUGUUUGCACUCCCAGUGUUCAGAAGGUCUGGAUCCCCUAGGUCUGCCAUCAGGACCACCAGAAAAUUUGAUAACUAUAGAAGCACUUGAUAGAAGGCUCCUGGAUAAAGAUGGGCAAAAAUCAGAGGCCUUUGUCAUAUGGAUUCUGAGUUCUUCAAAAAAGAUGUCUGAUGACAGAUGAUAGUGGGUGCCUUAGAUCUCACUUCUUUUUCUUUCUUUUAACAUAUUUUUGGUGCUGGGAUAAGAUUCUAGCCCUUCCUAGUAUGUCUAUUAUUGAUAGCAAAGGGAAACCAAAAAGUAAGUUCUUAUAUAGGCUUACUUCAUCAGAAUGAAGAAAAAGGCUGAAGACUGGGUCUCUUGCUGAUUUUUUUUUUUUUUUUUUUUUGGUUUCCCCAGAUUGGAAUGGUGGGAGCAGAGCAAGAUCCUUGAUGGGCUAAUACUGUCAUUUUGUGGGACAAGUUUUAUAGACCUCCAGUAUACAGAUAAUUUCUGCCAGGCAAGGCCCUAUGGGAGGUCAAAUGGCUACACACUGCACUAAAGUUUACAUUAUGUUCCUCUGUGGUACCCCAGGGCCGUUCACUAGUGUACUUUUGAUACAGUGUGUGGUCCUAAUGCCUUUCUGUAGCAGUAUCUUUGAUGAAGGCUAUUCUAUCUAAGGUACUCCUUCAGGGUCUAGAUGAGUGGUUCCCAAUGUUACAGCCCUUUAAUACAGUUCGUCAUGUGGUAACCCCCAACCAUAAAAUUAUUUUCCUUGUUCCUUCA